UACGUAGGGUGCGAGCGUUGUCCGGAAUUAUUGGGCGUAAAGAGCUCGUAGGCGGUUUGUCGCGUCGGCUGUGAAAACCUGGGGCUCAACCCCGGGCCUGCAGCCGAUACGGGCAAACUAGAAUUCGGUAGGGGAGACUGGAAUUCCUGGUGUAGCGGUGAAAUGCGCAGAUAUCAGGAGGAACACCGGUGGCGAAGGCAGCUCGCUGGGACGUUACUGACGCUGAGGAGCGAAAGCCAGGGGAGCAAACGGG
rnacentral:rRNA from 1 species